rnacentral:rRNA from 1 species
CGGCUUGCAUUGGCGCGUUGGCGAACGACGCGGCCGGCGGGGAUUAGGGGAAAGAGGCGGCGGUGGCAACGGAGCGCGGUCGGGGUCGGGGUUAUCCGUGGUCUCCACGUGAGCCUAAAGGAGAGGACCGGCUCGGCUGCCGCUGAGCCACUCGAGAUGAGGGAGGUUUAGCCUCUGCCUUCCGGGACGGGUCGCGUCGGAUGUAUAUAUACGUGGGGUGUUGGAGAACGGUAUAGCUAGCUUAGCUCGGAACCUUGUUACAGCAGCACCAGUCCGGAGCGGAAGCAGCAUCGGAGGCGGCAGUGCCCGUCACGGCACUGCGACCGCCGCAGCCGCAAGAUGCUGGAGAUGAAGGUCGCGAGCAUGCGGAAGCUGUAGUACGGGGGCCUAGACAGGGGACCCUCGGCCAUGUAGAUGUGGGCGCGGGUCUUGUUGCUGUUCCGACUCGCCCGGUAGUGGUGCACGUCACAGGAGUCGCGGAACCUGCGGCCGUCCCGACUAGGCCAGCAACCGGCGCUGCUGCUCUAGCUGGCGCAGCAGACAUAGGACACGGCGGCGUGGUUCUUGACACGCCGCGAACAGCCACGACGCCCCCAGCCAUUCUGCCGGUAGCAACUCCCGGAGCGGGUUGCGUAGCGGCGGCCCUUGCAGGGCCUGCACGACCGUCCUCGCGCGUAGGACCUCGAGCUGUACCCCCGCCAACAGCGGCCCUGUGCGACCGCACCGUACAAGCUCCUCGCGAACUUUCUGCGGUAGUUCGUACGCCUCCUCCGCCCUCCGUUCCACUAGGAGAAGUAACUACUCAACGUGUACUAACAACCGCGGCCGCUAUUUCCUCCGGGGUACCUGCGGCGGUUAUAGGAGUUCGGUCGUAAUCGGGCGCCGGCGUAGGCAACACACCCACGAUGGUGAACGCUUCUCAUGGUGUUCAUAUAGGUCUGCCUGCGACGUGAACUCGCGGCCAAGGUUUUCCAACAGCAGCUCCUCGGUUCGCACGUCCCGUGGUAGUGGUAGGAUUUUCCCGACUUUGUCGCCAUGGUUCUCGUGGUACCGAACUUUUAGGUCCUGCUACGAGAGCAACGACGUCGUGUCGAGCGGCGGGCAAUAUAAUGACCAGCGGUCAAAGGACUGUUCCGCUAACUAAACUAACUGCUCCGUACGAGAUGACGUUUCCACGUAAAACUGUUCGUCUUUCACCUCUUAUUAUACUAAUCGAGGUAUAAACGUGGCUUCCUCAAUUGUCAACCGGGUCUAGUAUAGCGUGUCCAACAGUCAGCUACGUGAUCUUAGGGAGAGUGGUGUGAACCAGUUCUCCUCUUCCUCUUCAAUCAGGUGGAUCGUCUUUUUAACGUACUCGCUCAGCAGCCAGUCCUACUUCGCCAGUUAAACCAACGCGUUCGCCACGAUGCAAGAUCCCAACCAAAACCAGCUAGAUCGGCUGGCUAUCCAAGUAAGGAGAAAAACCCUGGCGAACCACAACCUUUUUGUCUUGAUCGUUUUCGAGAGCGGCUCUCCUAUAAACUGUUACUCUUCCGCAACUAGGCGAAACUAUACAGCCUUAUACGACUCUCACCCAGACACAGCGCGGAGUAACCCCCUGGAGCUUCGAUACUUCUUCCACCUGUUGAAUGGCUCUUUCAGUUCUCCACGGGUAUGUCGUAACAGGAAAAGCUGGUCCACCUAUUCCGUCUAGGGAGUUAUAAGUUCCAAAAAUCGGUUGAGGAACUACUACCAUACGACUGACUACCGUUUCCUGUGCAGCAUCUAAAAUUUUUGUGAUAGUAGUAAUACUGGAGUUGAGAUCCUCGUCUCGUCGAUUGUUGUUCUUACCCGUAUCUUUUGUGUCAGUUUCGACCUGCUCCAGAAGAAUACCUCGUCCAAGUCUUUGCGAACUUCGGACUUGAAUAACUGUCUGACUCACUCCAACACUAUAAACUCGGCGAAAGUGUGCUGCUUGACUUCCUUUAUCACUUUUAGGUCUACUUCCUACAGUAACGGUGUCAUCGAUUGUUUCCACAGAGAGAUAAAUAUUGACUACGGCGCGACCUGCAGUAAACCAGCCUUAGUAUGGUGGACCAUUUACCGCGUUCCGGGUACUCCUCUACCCACCUCUUCUUACACUGCUGUCAAGAAAGUUUGUACGACCAGUUACCUCUUCGAACACUUCCGAGCUCCUAGAGGUAGCUACGACGUCUACAAUUGUCCCCCGACUCCAUGGUACAUGACUUCUUCGUCCGCUCGUGUCUGGGUAUUUCGGUCGCUACUCAAGACGGUACCAGUGAGGUAUCGUCGUAGACUGUUUUUGUCACCUACAUAUAUCUGACAAUCACUUAAUACUACCUAUAAAUCGAAAAACAUUGUUCUACAUAUGUGUAUAUGUUUAUAUAGGUCCAACUAGUUCCAAUAACUCGAUGAUAACGUCAUUCACACUCAAAACGGUACCAGUCAGGUACUAGACACACAUCAUCUGUAUGUGUUUAAAUAGGUCCAACUAGUUCCGAUGAGUCAUGUAACAGUGUAAAUCAAUCAACGUAAAUGAUAUAAAGAAUGAACGAAUAAAUUUGACAGGUGGAAAGCCCCCAACAGCAUUCGUUCCGGUUCUCCUAAAAAAAAUCCUGAUAACAUAGCCGAAAAUACAUACGC